UACAGAGGGUGCGAGCGUUAAUCGAAAUGACUGGGCGUAAAGGGUGCGUAGGCGGUUUGUUAAGUUAGGUGUGAAAGUCCUAGGCUCAACCUGGGGAUUGCGCCUAAUACUGACGACCUAGAGUGCUAGAUAGGAAAGUGGAAUUUCCGGUGUAGCGGUGAAAUGCGUAGAUAUCGGAAGGAACAUCAGUGGCGAAGGCGACUUUCUGGCUAGCAACUGACGCUGAGGCACGAAAGCAUGGGGAGCAAACAGG
rnacentral:rRNA from 1 species